UACAGAGGCCCCGAGCGUUAAUCGGAAUUACUGGGCUUAAAGGGUGCGUAGGCGGACCAGUAAGUGCUUUGUGAAAGCCCCCGGCUCAACCGGGGAACUGCGGGGCAUACUGCUGGUCUUGAGGCAAGUAAGGGUUGCGAGAACUGUAGGUGGAGCGGUGAAAUGCGUAGAUAUCUACAGGAAUGCCGAUGGUGAAGACGCGCAACUGGGCUUGUCCUGACGCUGAGGCACGAAAGCGUGGGGAGCAAACAGG
rnacentral:rRNA from 1 species